rnacentral:rRNA from 1 species
GACGAACCGUGCGAACGUUGUUCGGAAUCACUGGGCUUAAAGGGCGCGUAGGCGGGCUGCCAAGCCUGGGGUGAAAUCCCACGGCUCAACCGUGGAACUGCCUCGGAUACUGGCGGCCUCGAGGGGGGUAGGGGCGUGCGGAACUGUGGGUGGAGCGGUGAAAUGCGUUGAUAUCCACAGGAACUCCGGUGGCGAAGGCGGCACGCUGGACCUCUUCUGACGCUGAGGCGCGAAAGCCAGGGGAGCAAACGGG